rnacentral:rRNA from 1 species
CACGUAGGCACCAAGCGUUGUCCGGAUUUAUUGGGCGUAAAGAGCUCGUAGGCGGUUCGGCAAGUCGGGUGUGAAAUUUCGAGGCUCAACCUCGAAACGCCACUCGAUACUGCUGUGACUGGAGUCCGGUAGAGGAGUGCGGAAUUCCUGGUGUAGCGGUGAAAUGCGCAGAUAUCAGGAGGAACACCAACGGCGAAGGCAGCACUCUGGGCCGGUACUGACGCUGAGGAGCGAAAGCGUGGGGAGCAAACAGG